GGCGUGAAGGAUGUACUCCUCUUCUGGCCCCCAACCAGGGCAUCCGCAGUUCCUCACUCUUGCUCCGUCAACGUUCCAGGGAUAAAACCCUCUCUCGGUGGAUCCUACCUAGCCGACAUCGACCCCAGUCAGAUAGCCGCUCGUAAUUAUGACCCACAGUGUGUGACAAGCCACCGUACACCCUCGUUAUUCCAUUAGAAGUACCAUGCGGACCGAACCGGAAAUUAAGUUACGCCUAUUUUGAGCGCGAUUGACGAGUGUGUGACCGAACAAAAUAGCGCCCUUCCGGGAAGCACCGUCCAGCUACCACCCCAGGACCUCCUCAAUUUCGAUCAUCAGUGUGUCAGUGUUUGUAAAUGUGUGCACUAGAAGACCGUGAAACAAUCAAGAAAUGUGCUUGACAUUUUCUUCAGCAAGAUUCCUGUUUGUGUGUGUAUGUGUGAGUUGGGGCUGUCGUGUCGUGCCAAAAGUGGUUAAGAGUGAGAAUAGACCUAAAUUGGGACCGACCGUACCCGAGUUCUUCCCCCGGUGGGCCUAACAGUUGAAACACGGACCUUUCGGAGGGUGUGAUUUAUUCCAGUCCCCGUUUAAGAUACAAGAUAAUUCAAAAUGUCAACAUUAUGAUGAAUGGUAUUACAAGUGGAUGUUAAAAGGCUCGCUUUCGACCGAAAAACUUCUUUUCUUGAGAGUUGUUUCUGAAACGUGAUAACAAACAUCUGUCAGCGGAAAAUGACACGUUUUGAAAGGACUACAUUCUAUGUCGCACCAUACACCCGUCUGGUGCUACAACUGUUGGGAAUGUUGUAAGCAUUAUUUAUUGAUAGGCUUUUAGAGCUGGUGGUAUUGACCAUCCCAGAAGCGGCCGUUCGAAGGUGCGGUGUCACACACUUUGGCAACAACACCAGAUAUCAAUAGAGGAUAAGUCCACACUGAAUAUGGAAAAACGGAAAAUCCAUGUCACCAACCAAAUCCUGUAAGCUUUUCCCGCCCUGCCAGCCGGAACGAAGCCCCAAACCCAACAAGAUGAGGGCGUGUGAACGUUCAGCUCGAUUUCUAAUUUUCACCCGAGGAAGACAUCAUUAGGCGGAGACUUCCAACCGGAAUGACGUGAAAGACGGAGUGAAAAUUUUAAAUCCCCGGAUUUCCCCGACAUGGCACACUCCUCUCGGUGGCCGUUGGGAUGCGAAAGGUGGGGAGUGAAAAUAGUUUUCCUCUGUGGUAUUUGGGUCGUCGUUUGUGGAAUAAUCGCAUGCCAGCACGAGUUCUCAGACAGUCAGUCAGAGGUGUUGGUAAAAAGGUUCGAAUCCGAUUAAAGCGCAAAUGGGAACAAGUGUGAAGGCCAAUCAGAUAAGCAAAAGUUUCAAAUGAUUGAGAUGUUCGACAUAAUGACUGCAAAAUCAACUCGAGUAGCAACCCGCCUGGGAACUGUUAUUGUGGAUAGAAAGCAUUAGAAACUUAAAUUCUUAAGCCUU